rnacentral:rRNA from 1 species
GGGGAAUAUUGGACAAUGGGCGAAAGCCUGAUCCAGCAAUGCCGCGUGAGUGAUGAAGGCCUUAGGGUCGUAAAGCUCUUUUACCAGGGAAGAUAAUGACUGUACCCACAGAAGAAGCCCCGGCUAACUCCGUGCCAGCAGCCGCGGUAAUACGGAGGGGGCUAGCGUUGUUCGGAAUUACUGGGCGUAAAGCGCACGUAGGCGGACCGGAAAGUCAGAGGUGAAAUCCCAGGGCUCAACCUUGGAACUGCCUUUGAAACUCCUGGUCUUGAGGUCGAGAGAGGUGAGUGGAAUUCCGAGUGUAGAGGUGAAAUUCGUAGAUAUUCGGAGGAACACCAGUGGCGAAGGCGGCUCACUGGCUCGAUACUGACGCUGAGGUGCGAAAGCGUGGGGAGCAAACAG